AAACAGCAACCCUUCUGGGUCCCCUUCCACCACGCAGAAGCUUUACUUUCGCUUUCACUUUACUUUUGCUUUCACUUUAACAAAUCUUGCAGCCGCACACUCUUUGGGUCCGCCCGUUUCUCUAAUCAAGUUGUAACACUCGCUGCUGUGGUCCACAGCUUCAUUCCUUGAAGCCCGUGAGACACGAACGCUUCCAUUGAGAAAAACCUUCCAUCAGAAGAAGACUUCUCGUCUCAGUGGGACUGCUGAGUUGAAUGGAUGACCUUUGUUUGUUUAAACUGUUGGAAAAUCAAUAUUUAAAAUGAAAUCUAGAAACUGAAGUGUGCCCUCUGCAGGAUCACCAGAAUGAUGGGAAAACUGAACACAAUCAACUCAUGAACUCCCCAAGCAUCUGCUGCUAUUUUUGUUUCUUAUUUUUCCUGUGAGGAGAUGCUGCAGGAACUACAGACCCAGGAAAUCAACUGUUAUGACUGACUCUCAAUUAAAAUCAGUGCCUGCCUCUGAGCUAUUGAUGAUUCUAAAAAGUACAGCAUCCACUACCAUUACUUCCUUAUGUAUAAGGGCUGUCACUCUUUAAGCAAAAUAAACAGAUUUUUGAGCAUCAUCUCUUUUUUGGAUCAUCAUUUUGCAAGUGGAGAUUGUGCUUUUUUUUCUGAAGCUUUGGUAGUGUAACUGUAAGAGUCCUGGAAUUGGAAAAGCAAAUCCAGAAGUUGAGUUCCAUGACUUUUUUGCUGUUUGCCUUUGGACUUGCAUCAUUUAUAUUUUUAAUUCAUCGAGGAUGAGAAAAUUGAUUAACACAAAAUCUUUUCAUGUCUUUUCUGAUGAGAGACUAGCUGAAUCCAAGAAGAGAAGCCCUUGAAGAGUGUAUUCUAUUCUAGACAAGCAUUCACACAUUGGCUUCUUUGGUGCCAGCAUGUUUCUGAUCAGCAUGAAAACUGCGCAGGAGCUUUUCUGUCUUGCAGAGCUAGUUAAUGAGAUUGUUGCUGCCUUCAGAUUCUAUAAAGGACUUCUCCAAUAUUGGAUUAAAGAAUGAAGAAAGGAUCAAAUUGAGACAUCCAGGGGGGAAGAGUUCCCUGGCAAAACUCCAAUCUGCCUGAGCACUGAGGUGGAGCCACAGAAGUCCGGGUCAUUUGCACCUGGGAGGAGCCUGGCCCCUCCUCUUCCUGUGUGGAAUCUGGGAUUUAAUCUGUGAGGAGGGAAGGCCAAGGGCAGGAAGCACAGGCUCUCACUUCACUAAGAGUCUCUGUUUCCCCUUUUUUUCCUUUAUGCCUAAUUAAUAAAUCCCAUUUUUCUCACUCUUCAAAUAGUCUUCAAGCCUAAAUUUUCAUGACCAUGGAACAAGGACCCCAUCUUUAGCUGAACUAAGGAAAAGUCCUGCAACAAAAUUCUUUGCUAAAAAUACAUGAGGUUGCCUUUUCCUUCUUAAUCUUAAAAGAAAUAUAUUUCAAUGGUUAACGUUUUAGUAAUUCAAAAAUUAUCAAGCAUUUGUUCACAACCAUAAGAUGUGCAUUGUUUUAUAUUCCUACUUAAUAAUAGACUAUAAUUGUCUAAUUAGACUGCCGAUGUUGAUCUUUGUGGCUCAUUGCAUUGAUUAUAAGCAGUGUUUUGGGUUUGUGUGUGUGUGUCAAAUUUAGGGUUUUUUUGGUAUGGCUGCUGGUUGGUGUAGCCUGUAUCCAGUAUCCUGUAUUAAUUCUAAUAUUUGCAUUUUGAACAUAUUUACAAGUUGCUAAAAUAGCAAAGCUUCGAGAUGAGCCUGGCUGAUAUGGCAAAACCCCGUCUCUACUAAAAAUACAAAAAUUAGCCUGGUGUGGUGGUGCAUGCCUGUAAUCCCAGCUACUUGGAAGUCUGAGGCAGGAGAAUCUCUUGAACCCAGAAGGUGGAGGUUGCAGUGGGCCAAGAUCGCACCACUGCACUCCAGCCUCGGUGAUAGAGCGAGACUACGUCUCAAAAAUAAAAUAAAAUAAAAUAAAAUAAAAAUAGCAAAGCUAUGUAUGGUUUCUCUGAGUUUUGUAAUUUAUCAUUGUUAACUGCAGAAAUUUAUUAUAUGAGACAUAUUAUAUGAGACAUAUAAGUGAAUUUGGAUUGGGUUUAAUUUUAUAUUUUUGAAUAUAGUUCUUCAAGAUAAAUUUUAUCUUAGACCUCAAGAAAUAAAAAUAAAAUAAAUUAGAUAUACAAACGA
rnacentral:lncRNA from 10 species